AAGGUUUGGUCCUGACUUUAUUGUCAGCUUUAACUUUAUUUAUACAUGCAAGUAUCCGCCCCCCCGUGAGAAUGCCCUUAAUUUCUCUUCCAGAAACGAGGAGCAAGCAUCAGGCACGGGGAAUAGCCCCAGCCCAAAACGCUUUGCUAAGCCACCCCCCCAAGGGAAUUCAGCAGUAAUAAACAUUAAGCUAUGAGUGAAAGCUCGAUCUAGUUAAAGUUAGGCGGGUCGGUAAAACUCGUGCCAGCCACCGCGGUUAUACGAGGGACCCUUGUUGAUAAUUGCCGGCGUAAAGAGUGGUUAAGGUCCCCCCCAUCUAAAGCUAAAUACUUUCCCAGCUGUUAUACGCCCUCGAAAAAAGACACCCUUUCACGAAAGUAGCUUUACCCUCCUGAACCCACUGCAAUUAGGGAACAAACUAGGAUUAGAUACCCUACUAUGCCUAAUCAUAAACUAUGAUAUUAAAAUACAACUAAUAUCCGCCAGGGUACUACGAGCACAGCUUAAAACCCAAAGGACUUGGCGGUACUUCAAACCCACCUAGAGGAGCCUGUUCUAAAACCGAUAAUCCCCGUUUAACCUCACCCCUUCUAGUCAAGCCCGCUUAUAUACCGCCGUCGUCAGCCUACCCUGUAAAGGAACCCUAGUAAGCAAAAAAGACAAAACUCAAAAACGUCAGGUCGAGGUGUAGCGUAUGAAGAGGGAAGAAAUGGGCUACAUUUCCUGAAUAAGGAUACAACGGACAAUAUAAUGAAAUUUUUAUUUGAAGGUGGAUUUAGCAGUAAGAAAAAACUAGCAUGUUUUCCUGAAACCGGCUCUGAAGUGCGUACACACCGCCCGUCACUCUCCUCUAUAUACCCCACCUAGUACAUAAAACGCUAAUUCUAAUAAGGGGAGGCAAGUCGUAACACGGUAAGUGCACUGGAAAGUGCACUUGGAAUAACCAUGGCGCGGCUAACAAAGAAAAGCAUUUCCCUUACACCGAAAAGACACCCGUGCAACUCGGGUCGCCCUGAACUAAUAAGCUAGCCACUUUCC
rnacentral:ncRNA from 1 species